UUUUUUUUGGAUCGACCCAAAUCAAUUUUCCUCCGGGAGCCGGGGAUCCCCUUUUCAUUUCUACUUCUGAACCUACACUUUGAAUAUUUAGUGCUACUGUUGGAUCACUCUGGUUAAACCCCUUCUUGCUAAAUGCUAUAUCACCGCAUCAAGGACAUUCUGCACUGGAGCAUUUCUGAAAAAGAUUAUUGGUCAAGAAUUGCUGUACAUGUUUGAAAAAAGGAUAUACAAUUAUUUAAUGGUGUUGAAGGAAUAGGACGCAAGUUCUGGCACACAUGGGACGUUUCGGCCUUGUUCCUCUUCUUCUGGCCAAAAGGUACACUUAGUCACUGAC